UACGAAGGGGGUUAGCGUUGCUCGGAAUCACUGGGCGUAAAGCGCACGUAGGCGGGUCGUCAAGUCGGGGGUGAAAGCCCGGAGCUCAACUCCGGAACAGCCUUCGAUACUGACGAUCUUGAGUUCGGGAGAGGUGAGUGGAACUGCGAGUGUAGAGGUGAAAUUCGUAGAUAUUCGCAAGAACACCAGUGGCGAAGGCGGCUCACUGGCCCGAUACUGACGCUGAGGUGCGAAAGCGUGGGGAGCAAACAGG
rnacentral:rRNA from 1 species